rnacentral:rRNA from 1 species
AUUGAACGCUGGCGGCAGGCCUAACACAUGCAAGUCGAGCGGAUGAAGAGAGCUUGCUCUCUGAUUUAGCGGCGGACGGGUGAGUAAUGCCUAGGAAUCUGCCUGGUAGUGGGGGACAACGUUUCGAAAGGAACGCUAAUACCGCAUACGUCCUACGGGAGAAAGUGGGGGAUCUUCGGACCUCACGCUAUCAGAUGAGCCUAGGUACGAUUAGCUAGUUGGUGAGGUAAAGGCUCACCAAGGCGACGAUCGUUAACUGGUCUGAGAGGAUGAUCAGUCACACUGGAACUGAGACACGGUCCAGACUCCUACGGGAGGCAGCAGUGGGGAAUAUUGGACAAUGGGCGAAAGCCUGAUCCAGCCAUGCCGCGUGUGUGAAGAAGGUCUUCGGAUUGUAAAAGCACUUUAAGUUGGGAGGAAGGGCAGUAAGUUAAUACCUUGCUGUUUUGACGUUACCGACAGAAUAAGCACCGGCUAACUUCGUGCCAGCCGCCGCCGUAACAC